GACGAACGCUGGCGGCGUGCCUAAUACAUGCAAGUAGAACGCUGAAGGAGGAGCUUGCUUCUCUGGAUGAGUUGCGAACGGGUGAGUAACGCGUAGGUAACCUGCCUGGUAGCGGGGGAUAACUAUUGGAAACGAUAGCCAAUACCGCAUAAUAGUAGAUGUUGCAUGACAUUUGCUUAAAAGGUGCAAUUGCAUCACUACCAGAUGGACCUGCGUUGUAUUAGCUAGUUGGUGGGGUAACGGCUCACCAAGGCGACGAUACAUAGCCGACCUGAGAGGGUGAUCGGCCACACUGGGACUGAGACACGGCCCAGACUCCUACGGGAGGCAGCAGUAGGGAAUCUUCGGCAAUGGACGGAAGUCUGACCGAGCAACGCCGCGUGAGUGAAGAAGGUUUUCGGAUCGUAAAGCUCUGUUGUAAGAGAAGAACGAGUGUGAGAGUGGAAAGUUCACACUGUGACGGUAUCUUACCAGAAAGGGACGGCUAACUACGUG
rnacentral:rRNA from 1 species